rnacentral:rRNA from 1 species
GACGAACGCUGGAGGCGUGCUUAACACAUGCAAGUCGAACGAUGAAGCCGGAGCUUGCUCUGGUGAAUUAGUGGCGAACGGGUGAGUAACACGUGAGUAACCUGCCCUUGACUCUGGGAUAACUGCUAGAAAUGGUAGCUAAUACCGGAUACGACCCUCGGAGGCAUCUCCAGGGGGUGGAAAGAAUUUCGGUCAAGGAUGGACUCGCGGCCUAUCAGCUAGUUGGUGAGGUAACGGCUCACCAAGGCGACGACGGGUAGCCGGCCUGAGAGGGUGACCGGCCACACUGGGACUGAGACACGGCCCAGACUCCUACGGGAGGCAGCAGUGGGGAAUAUUGCACAAGGGGCGCAAGCCUGAUGCAGCAACGCCGCGUGGGGGAUGACGGCCUUCGGGUUGUAAACCUCUUUUAGUAGGGAAGAAGCGAAAGUGACGGUACCUGCAGAAAAAGCACCGGCUAACUACGUGCCAGCCGCCGCCGUAA